rnacentral:snRNA from 1 species
UGCGAUGGUCCCUGCGGAUG